UAGAGUUUGAUCCUGGCUCAGGAUGAACGCUGGCGGCGUGCCUAACACAUGCAAGUCGAACGGGAAUCUGGUUUCGAUCAGAGGAGAGUGGCGCACGGGUGAGUAACACGUAGCUAACCUGCCCCGAAGAGCGGGAUAACUGCCGGAAACGGGAGCUAAUACCGCAUAAGCUCACGACCUGUAGAGGGUAGUGAGAAAAGACUCCGGUGUUUCGGGAGGGGGCUGCGGUCCAUCAGCUGGAUGGUGGGGUAACGGCCUACCAUGGCAACGACGGAUCGGGGGCCUGAGAGGGUGGUCCCCCACACUGGGACUGAGACACGGCCCAGACUCCUACGGGAGGCAGCAGUGAGGAAUCUUGCACAAUGGGCGCAAGCCUGAUGCAGCGACGCCGCGUGGGUGAAGAAGGGUUUCGGCUCGUAAAGCCCUUUUCUGCGUGACGAGAAAGGACGGUAGCGCAGGAAUAAGUCUCGGCUAACUACGUGCCAGCAGCCGCGGUAAAACGUAGGAGGCAAGCGUUAUCCGGAGUUACUGGGCGUAAAGCGCGCGCAGGCGGUCUGGUAAGUGACGUGUGAAAGCGCCCGGCUAAACUGGGCGAGGACAGGUCAGACUGCCAGGCUAGAGGCUGGUAGAGGGGUGCAGAAUUCCGGGUGUAGCGGUGAAAUGUGUAGAGAUCCGGAGGAAUACCAGUGGUGCAGACGGCGCCCUGGGCCAGACCUGACGCUGAGGCGCGAAAGCGUGGGGAGCGAACGGGAUUAGAGACCCCGGUAGUCCACGCCGUANACGAUGCGAACUAGGUGUUCACGGGACUACGGUUCUGGGAGUGCCGAAGCUAACGCGCUAAGUUCGCCGCCUGGGGAGUACGGUCGCAAGGCUAAAACUCAAAGGAAAUUGACGGGGGCCCGCAC
rnacentral:rRNA from 1 species